rnacentral:miRNA from 1 species
GCCCGGAGCCGCGAGCCGGCCGCGGGGCGGGGGGCGCGGAGCCACGGCCUCGGCGGGGCCGGCCGG